UAGCUAUAUAAUAUUUCUAUUUCAUGUUCAUCUUCCAUGAAGUCAUGGAACACACUUCUAGUGUCAGAAGUGACAAUCUGGAAAUCAAAUACUUUUUUCUAGAUCUUAGAUAGUGAACAUUAGCUAAUAGCACUGCAGUAGUUGUUGGUGAGCAAGACAAACAAGGGCCCGAAAAAUGUAUACAGUAUAAUAUAUUCUCUUAAAUGCAUCUUAAAAUGUGUUCUCAUACAUGUUUCAGUGACAGAAAUAUACAGUAUAUCCAAAUGCUAAUAUUUGUUCUGUCCUUCUUCAUUGACAGGGGAAAUUAUGAUCUUGUCUCUGAGUUUGUCACCGUGUGAAAUCGGACUAAGUGAAUAUCGUGUGACGUACUCAUUAAUCCCAAUGAAACCCCUGAGUUAUUUUGAACACAGUUUUUCUAUUUGGUUUGGAAAUGAAAAGUGGUUUGAAGUCCAAGGCAGACAAGACUGUGAAAGCUACAGACUAUGCCAGCUCAUCAAAGGGGAGUCCAUCCAUGACACGGUUCCUUUUUACACCAAGGCCUUCAAACCUCCUAGAGGAAACUUCUUCAUGAUUGCAAAAGUAUUUGAUGCAACAAAUGUCAUCCAUCUGAACAUCACAGUUGAAGUUAAAAAAUAAAAGUCAACAGCCCUUGGAGCAUUCACCAUCACCCAUCACAGGCUAAGAAAAAAAAUGCAGUUAUUCUCAGCACCAUGUUUAAAAUCCACAUCAUCACUGUAUUCUCUUGGAUGUUAUUUUUUAAACACAGUGAGGUACCAAAGAUACUAUGCAUUAAACCUCAACAUUACAUAGAUUUCCUUUCGAAAUGGGCUUCAAUGAAUGGUUUCAGAAAUGGAGAUUGAAUGCUAUGCUAUGGAGAAUAAAGAGUUCAUAAGCAAUAUUCUUUAGUAUUGG
rnacentral:lncRNA from 1 species